GUGCCUAUAUAUUGAAUAGCUUUUUUAUAUAACUUCAAAAUCUCUACCAAAUAUCUAUUGAAUUACAUUUCAUCAUGUCACACAUUCAUAUAACAUACUUUAUCUUUUUAUUACCCUUUACUUUCCUUCUCCAAACUAGCAUUAGAGUUUCAGCGGUACACCCUCUCUAUCACUUUUGUUCAUCCACCACCGGGAAUUUCACUUCCAAUACCAUCUAUGAAAAGAACCUUAACACACUCUUGGAUAAUUUACAGAGAGAUAUUUCUCCUUUGGGAUUUUCACGCGCAGUAUCUCGAAUACGUCCGUCUUGGUUCUUUGGAAUUUCUCUCUGUCGAGGAGAUGUGAAAUCCCCGAAGUGUAACGCAUGUGUUCGACAUGCUAGUAUAGAACUUCGCAAUAUUUGCCCUUAUAACAAAGGGGCAAUUAUAUGGUAUGACGAUUGUUUGUUGAAGUAUUUAGACCAAAGUUUCUUUGGUAAAAUUGAUACCAAAAACAAAUUUUAUUUGUUGAAUGUUGCUAACGUAAGUCAUGAUCCUAAUUUAUUUAACCAAAACGUUAAGGGAUUAUUGAGUAAGUUAGCUCUCGAGAGUGCUAACACUAAGGAACGUUUCUCAUUUGGAAGCAUGAAGCUCGAUACAUUUACAAACUUAUAUGGAUCAACUCAAUGUACCCAAGAUUUGUCGAAUAAAGCUUGCAAAAUUUGUUUGGAUGAAGCCAUACGUGAGCUACCAAAUUGUUGUUAUGGAAAAAGAGGAGGGAGGAUAAUAGGUGGGAGUUGUAACAUGAGAUAUGAGUUAUACCCUUUUGUCAAUUCCUAGGAAAUUAAGAUUAUAUCAUAAACCUUUAUUAUAUGUGUUGUGGGGUUUUUUCCGGUGAGAUACCUGGGAGGUUUCUUGGUAACUUUUACAGAUUAAACAAGAUUGUAUUUUUAUAGAGAGAGAAAGUAGAGAGAAGGCAGAGCAGUAAUUGCUCAAGAAUGUAUUGAUUGUGACCCUUUUUUCUAGGGAAGUGGGAAUAUUUAUAGUACUAGGUUUUUGGGGGAAUGACCUAAUAUUCCCCUUACAUGAUUGGCUGGGGAAUGGGAGGAGGACACGUGUCCUUUCUCCUUACAAUUCUCUGGCCUCUUUUGGCAAUAGUGGGCUGUUUGGGCCUAUUGUGCUUAGUCAUUCACUUGGGAUACAUACUAAUUAAGCCCCUUUCCAGGUAUAGGUUUUAUACAUACAUUUAUACACACUUAAAUACAUACACUGUAGAUACCUAGAUUAAUACCCAUGCCUCGGAGUAGACUUCGUAUGAUUUCUGCUUUAGGGGGCGCAAUACGUGCCAUGUGUCACGUCCUCAUUGGUACACGAAGGCACGGUAAUUUUGCCCACAACAUUUGCCCCUCAAGAAGGGCAUUUCUGGAAACACAUUCCGGGUAUCGCUUCUUGACUCUUGUUUUGCAUCUUCAUCUUUGGGUCAGGUGUUGAGAUGGUGACACGUGUCACCUUUCUCCAUUUUGCCCCUCCCUAUAUAUAGAGGUGAGGGGGGGUAAAUUUCAUUUUUUUACAUUUCAUUUUCACAGAGCUUUCAUAGGCGAUUUCCGGCGUGUUCCUACCACCAUCAGGCGAUUUCCGGCCACCAGGAGACUCAUCCUUUUCCUCGUCACACUCAUCCCGUUCUUCGCGAAACUCAUCUCGUUCUUCGCGAAACUCAUCCUGUUCUUCACCAAGUACUUCGCAGAUCUUUCAAGAGGAAGGAAUGAGCAAGCUAUCGGCGGCGGAUAUUGGGAAGGGCGAUAUGACCGAUUGGAUGGCGGACAUCUAUGAGGCCAAGAUGCAGAAAGCCAAGGCCGAGUUGGAGGAGAAGGUGAGUAUUCUCUUAGGUUGUCGUUUUUUUUCUUUUUUGCAAGUUAAACUUCUCCCGUCCAGCGUCUAUAGUGGACGUCUUUUUAGUGACGAGCCGAUAUCCUGAUAUCUGACCCGUGUUUGCUAAGGUAGGCCUCGUCACUUUUUAUUGACGGGCCCCUUAGUUAGCGUUUUUUCAAGUGACUCGUGAUUGAUAGGGUACGCCUCGUCAUUUUUGGGACGGGCGUCCUUUUUAAUGACGAGCCACUUUUCUGCGA